GCAUAUCAAUAAGCGGAGGAAAAGAAACCAACAGGGAUUGCCCUAGUAACGGCGAGUGAAGCGGCAACAGCUCAAAUUUGAAAUCUGGCCUCGGCCCGAGUUGUAAUUUGUAGAGGAAGCUUUUGGCGCGGCACCUUCUGAGUCCCCUGGAACGGGGCGCCAUAGAGGGUGAGAGCCCCGUAUAGUUGGAUGCCUAGCCUCUGUAAAGCUCCUUCGACGAGUCGAGUAGUUUGGGAAUGCUGCUCAAAACGGGAGGUAAAUUUCUUCUAAAGCUAAAUACCGGCCAGAGACCGAUAGCGCACAAGUAGAGUGAUCGAAAGAUGAAAAGCACUUUGAAAAGAGGGUUAAAUAGCACGUGAAAUUGUUGAAAGGGAAGCGCUUGUGACCAGACUUGCGCCGGGCUGAUCAUCCGGUGUUCUCACCGGUGCACUCUGCCCGGCUCAGGCCAGCAUCGGUUCUCGCGGGGGGAUAAAGGCCCUGGGAACGUAGCUCCUCCGGGAGUGUUAUAGCCCAGGGCGCAAUGCCCUCGCGGGGACCGAGGUUCGCGCUCUGCAAGGAUG
rnacentral:rRNA from 1 species